rnacentral:misc_RNA from 1 species
GGUAAACUAGAUUAAANAUUUUACUAUGUCUUCUAUAGUCUGAUCAUGGUAGUAUUUUAAAACACUUUGU